CUGGUUGAUCCUGCCAGUAGUCAUAUGCUUGUCUCAAAGACUAAGCCAUGCAUGUCUAAGUAUAAAUGUUAUACAGUGAAACUGCGAAUGGCUCAUUAAAACAGUUAUAGUUUAUUUGAUAAUCGAAUUUACAUGGAUAACCGUGGUAAUUCUAGAGCUAAUACAUGCUGUUAAGCCCAACUUUUCGGAAGGGCUGUAUUUAUUAGAUAACAAGCCAAUAUUCUUCGUGUCUAUUGUGAUGAUUCAUAAUAACUGAUCGAAUCGCAUGGCUCAUGGCCGCGAUACAUCAUUCAAGUUUCUGCCCCAUCAGCUUUCGAUGGUAGUGUAUUGGACUACCAUGGCUUUAACGGGUAACGGAGGAUUAGGGUUCGAUUCCGGAGAGGGAGCCUGAGAAACGGCUACCACAUCUAAGGAAGGCAGCAGGCGCGUAAAUUACCCAAUCCUAAUUCAGGGAGGUAGUGACAAGAAAUAACGGACAGAGGCUUCGUGCUUCUGGAUUGCAAUGAGCACAAUUUAAACCCCUUAGCAAGGAUCAAGGGGGGCAAGUCUGGU
rnacentral:rRNA from 1 species